CGGCGUGAGAGGGGAAAGAGGGAGCCGGCGGCGACGGCAGGUGGAGGCUGUAGCCGGCGGCGAGGUGAUGGCUGGCGGUAAGGCGGUGGCAGGCAGCGGCGGGCGGCAGAAAUGUGAGGGCUGGCGGAGGUAGGCGGCGGGCUGACAAUUGCGGACGGCAGCGGAGAGAGGGGAUAGCGACUGGUAGGGGAUGCUGACGAUAAUGGGGAUCGAUGGAUAGGCGACGGCGGCUGGACGGAAGGUGAUGGCAGCGGCGGCGGAAGGUGACAGCGGAGCAUGCGGUAGUAGCUGGCGGCGAUAGAGAGAAGAGAAGGGAGGGGGAAGGGUGUUCCAGACCGGGAGUAGCGGGGUCCUCCGACCAACCCAGGCGGGGACGGGA
rnacentral:lncRNA from 1 species